rnacentral:lncRNA from 1 species
UUUUUUAGAAACCUUAAAGAGAACAAAUGUUCUCUGCACCGUUCAGUACUGAGGCACUCGAUUGGUCUCCGAUCCUAGCCCAUUCUCCGAUGACAACAAAGAGGGCCAGAAUCUCACCGCCAGGUACGUCCUUUCUUUCCUUUUAUUAUUUCUCUCCUUAACCAACGAUUAAUAAACACAAAAAUAAGAAAAAGAAAGAAAAGUAAUAACCAGCCAAAAUGAAAGAGAAAAAGGAACCCAGAAAAUCACCUCUUAGUAUUUUGAUUUUUUUUUUAUAUUCUGAAUGCAUGUGUAUCACCGAUUACAAAGAUCUCGCCUUUUGUUUUAUAGGCUGAAAAAAUAACAAAAAUGAAAAUACAAUUUUUCCUUUCUGCUGCGUUGUUUGCUCUAUUUGCAGGUACGGAGUCGGGGACGUGGCGUGUACGGAGGCCAGCUGGAGGCGCGUAGUGGUGCUACGUGCGUGGGGAGUGGCUCGGUAGCGGCGCAUCAGCCAUUAGGGUUUUCCGGCUUUUGUUUCUAUGUUGGGUUUUGGGUUUCUAUAAUCGGGCCAGGGUUCAGGCCUUUUUGGGCCAAUUGGUUUGUAAUAUGGGCUGGACUGUGUAAAUGGACUUUGCCCUUUUAUUGAAUUUGAUUUUAUUUAUUUAUUUAGUUAAUAAUUUUUUUUGACAUGUAUGUGAGCCGGGCUAAAAUGGUCUGCUACAAUAGGUACCAAAUUAAAAAAAAGUGCCAAACACAAUACCAAGUAUAAUUUUAAUUUUAUAAAUAUAAUAUUUUAUAUUAUUUUGACUUAUAUGUAAAAAAAAAAUUAAGCUCCUAUAUUAAAUUCGCAUCCAAUUAAACCAUUGUUGUCCACUACAAUAAUCAAUUAAGCCAUUCCAUUAAUGGUUUCUGUCAUUAGCC